rnacentral:rRNA from 1 species
UGAGGAAUAUUGGGCAAUGCCCGCAAGGGUGACCCAGCAACGCCGCGUGGAGGAUGAAUGUCGUAAGAUUGUAAACUCCUGUUAGAGGGGAAGAAUAGUACCGGUUGGACCGGUAUAUGACUGUACCCUCAGAGAAAGCCCCGGCUAACUACGUGCCAGCAGCCGCGGUAAUACGUAGGGGGCAAGCGUUGUCCGGAUUUACUGGGUGUAAAGGGCGCGCAGGCGGGAUAAAAAGUCAGUGGUGAAAUCCUACAGCUUAACUGUAGAACUGCCUUUGAUACUUUUAUUCUUGAGUUCGGGAGAGAGAGACGGAAUUCCAGGUGUAGUGGUGAAAUACGUAGAUAUCUGAAAGAACACCAGUUGCGAAGGCGGUCUCUUGGUCCGACACUGACGCUGAGGCGCGAAGGCGUGGGGAGCAAACA